CGCGCAGGCGGUUUGGUAAGUCAGAUGUGAAAGCCCACGGCUUAACCGUGGAAGUGCAUUUGAAACUGCCAGACUUGAGUACCAGAGGGGAAAGUGGAAUUCCCGGUGUAGAGGUGAAAUUCGUAGAUAUCGGGAGGAAUACCGGUGGCGAAGGCGACUUUCUGGCUGAGUACUGACGCUGAGGCGCGAAAGCGUGGGGAGCAAACAG
rnacentral:rRNA from 1 species